rnacentral:lncRNA from 1 species
AGCUGAUAUGCAUUAUGUUUAUUCCGAACGAUGAUGAUGCUGAUACAGGAUAUACUGAUUUCUAUAAUGAAUGCUUGUUUUGGUAAACUGUUGUUUUUCUCUCUGGAUCAGCUGUAUAUUGUUCUUGGGGCAGGUUGAAAUGUUGCGCAAAUUAUAUACAUACACUUCACCGUAUCAGCUUUGAGUUCAUCUUUCACCUUAGUCGCUUCCUUCACCGCUGCAUCUUCCUUGCUACUUGCUCCAAAAAAUAAAAAAAAAAAGGUUUACAAAGUGCUUUGUGUU